rnacentral:rRNA from 1 species
UACGAGUGGUGCAAGCGUUAUUCGGAUUUAUUGGGCGUAAAGGGUGCGCGGACGGUUUGUUAAGUCACCUGUUAAAUUCUCUGGCCUAACCAGAGGCAUGCGGGUGAAACUGAUGAACUAGAGGGUGGAAGAGAGAAGUGGAAUUCUCGGAGUAGCGGUAAAAUGCGUAGAUCUCGAGAGGAACACCAAUGGCGAAGGCAGCUUCUUGGUCCAUUUCUGACGUUCAUGCACGAAAGCGUGGGGAGCAAACAGG